rnacentral:misc_RNA from 1 species
AUUGUUUCAUUGCAAAUGGAUCUCUUCACCUGAGACGAAUUACAAAUUAUAUAAGUGCUUAAUGCACAGGAGGAUUUCCAAUAUGGAACAAGGAACUGUUAAAUGGUUUAAUGACGAUAAGGGCUAUGGCUUCAUUACGCGUGAAAGUGGCGAUGAUGUAUUUGUUCAUUUUUCUGCUAUUCAAGGGGAUGGCUUUAAGUCAUUAAGUGAAGGUCAACAUGUUACAUUUGAUGUUGAGGAAGGUGAACGUGGCCUUCAAGCAGCAAAUGUCGUUAAAGACUAAAUACUAAACUAAAAAGCGACUGGAUUUUUCCGGUCGUUUUUUU